GUCGCGGUAAGCAACAAGCAUUUACUUUCGAUAUCAGGUCUCCAAACGGAAAGGAAGAGGAAGCAUUGCGCAGGGGUACGUCGCAAUACCCCCGAGCGACGCGAAACUUGACCAUGGCUUUUAAAAAAAUGUCGAUCUCCUUCGGAUAUUUCGCGUGCCUGUUCCUGUAUCUGCCGUCUGAGCGGGCAACUUUGACCAUUACGGUCCCUGAAGACACAAUUCAAGCCAAACCAGGCUCCGAUGUUCUGCUGCCUUGUUACAUUGAGGAGCCUUCUGGAAACCUAGACCCCAAACGCCUGGCUGUGAUAUGGCGUGUGGGUUCUGAAGUUAUUGCUAGGUAUGAAGAUGAAUUUGAAGCCAUUCGCCAGGGGGCAAAGAUGACUCCUGAAGAACUGAAAAAGGGCAAUGCCAGCCUCCUACUUCCAGAUGUGGAGGACACAGAUGGCAACACUUAUACUUGCUUUGUUAUCCACAGCCCUGACAGUGAAAGUAGGACAGUGGAGUUGAGAGUGGAAGCUCCCCCACACAUAAAACUUGGCUCCACAAAAGUGCAGUUGACAAAGCCGAGUACAGUUGCAUGUACAGCAACAGAUUUUUAUCCUGGCAAUAUCUCUGUGACAUGGCUCCGAAAUAAUAAGAUUGUGCAAGGCCCCGAAUUGCCUCCUGCUCAGCUCAGCACUGACCGCUUGUUCAAAGUAGAGAGUGUCCUGAAGCUCACACCACAAAUUACGGAUGCCACUGCCAACUUCUCCUGCCUUAUCCAUCACCAAGCAAUCGAAGGGCCACUUGUACUAAAUUUUCAGCUGCAGCUGCAAGCUCGCCCAACCCUUCAGCUGCUCCUUAAGCCACCGGGAGAGAAAUUUGUAGCAGCUGUGUGCAACGUGAACGAAUUUUAUCCCUCCCAAAUCCACAUUGAGUGGUUGCAAAAUGGAGUGCCACCAACGCAAAUAAAGUCUGAGGUACACCGCAUGGCCAGUGGGAUGUUUUCCAUUAACAGUGUCCUCUUCCCACAGAAGAGUGAUGUUGCAGUCACUUACGUUUGUCGAGCAGAACAUGAAGCUUUGGAGGCCCCACUGGAGCAGUCUGUCGUUUGGCAGCCAGAAGGUGAGGGUGAUGGGAUUAUCCAUUCCACCCUUCCGAGUACCCAGAGUACCAGGAAUAAAUUUUCUCCCUCACCAUCUUGGCCCACAGUGACCCCUACAACCCCAUCAGUUCUGAAUCUUUGGCCAUUGGGAUUGGCUACUGGACUUGCACUAGGAUUUGGAUUUGCACUAGGAGCUGGAAUAAUGUACUGUAAAUAUACAGUCAAGAAUACUUCACUUAUAGGAACGUGCAAUGAGAAAAUGCCCCUUCAACAGCAAGGUGAAGAGAAGGUCCAUGGCAUCACAAAACCCAGGACAGGAGAGACCAGUGGUAAAUCAGUGAAUCCAGAAGAGUUUCAUGAUGUGGAGGAACAGAGACUUUGACUGGACAAUUACCAUACCCAUUCCACUGAAGAACGUCAUUUGUUUGAAAAUAAGCUACAGGUUUCUCUUUGAUGAUCUGUGUAAUACACUGUUUCCUUCCAUGGCUUAAGGAAGGCACAGAUAUGUGAACCUGAGGCAUCUACAGAAGGCAACAAGUGGGAAUUACCCUUUGGAAUAAGCCAUAAGUCCCAGAUUUCCACUUUUCAUUUUUAAAAACCUACAAAUUAAGUUAUGAAGCAAAACACAAACCCUCCAUUCUAGCUAUUUAUUAGAAAGGGGGGGAAAACCCUGCCUAAUUCUGCUUUUUACAGUUUUUAGCUAGGUGGAUGCAAAACAUUUAGAAAUGGAAACACUUCAAAUUCGAACUACCCUGUUUCAAGCAUGAAACAAUUGUUUCAAGGGGGAAAAGGCUGCUUUGAUCAUUUGGAAGCUUUUCAAACUUGAAACAGUUGUAUGAUAUUCAAAAUGGCCUGUUUGAAUUCUAAAUGUUUUAUACACCCCUGUUUUUCAAAUAGAGUGGCUAUGCAUGUAGGCUGAAGCACAAACUUAACUGGGCUAUUUUUCACUAAAAAAUACUCCCUUAUGGGAAGAGGUUGAUGCCCAACUUUAAAAAAAAAUUCAGAAAUGUAGAAGAGAUUUUAGUGCUGCUGUCAUUGCCAGCUGAGCUUAAAUUGAAAAGAAUUCAUAUUCUUUUAAAUGAAAACCAUAUUUUAAAAGAAGAGUGAAUGGGUGUAAAGGUAGGGGAAGAGCAAGAAAGUUGUCUUUGGGUAGAAUUGAUGAGGUCCUGAAAAAAAAGUGAGAAGUUUAAAGAACACGAGGUAAUGUAUGCAGCAUGGAUGCAGAAGUAAAGAUGGUUUCAAGGUUAGAAAGGUAUGGAAAGGUAUAAUGAGUGUUAUUGAUGAUUAAGCUUCAUUCCUGUUUCUUUUUCUACCUCAUGCCAUGUUUACUAUUUCUUUACACCUUUUCUGUGCUUUGUAUAAAGUUGCUUAACCCAAAAGACAAUAUAGUAGCAAGAUGUAUUCUAAACAUAAGUUCUAUAUGUUUUUUUAAAAAUAAUUCUACCAAUGCAUUAAAACCAUGUUUAUUAUUAGAGCCAUGUUGCAGAAAGGUAGGAGCAGCGAAGUACCAAAAUGUGGGAAGUGCCACUGUAAAUCACCUUUUUGAAUUCCUGUCCAACAUGCCUCAAAUACUGGUGAGACAAGACAAGGGCCCUCUCUUGAACAUUUUAUAACCCAGUGGAUUUGUAUGAGGAAAUACACUAUUUCAAAUAGCUUGAUCUCAAAUCAGAUGAAGCUUUUAGAACCUGAAUAAUUUUGGCUGAAAAUUUUACCCAGAGGGAAAAAUGUGUAUAGGUCCCAAGUAAUUGAGACAUAUACCUUUCUCAAGGUUAUUUCAACUUCGGUAGACCUGUUGCUUAACCUCUCAGUUACUAAACCCUCCCAAAAUGUAGUACAGGGUUUGUUCAUUUUAACCACAUAGCACAUAAUCUGCAAUUCUAAGAACAAGCAUACAGUUGCCAAAGUAUGUGUGUGCUGUCCAGAGUUCAAAUAAUGCAAAAAGCCUAUCUUAACUGAUGCAAAAACAGCUUACCCAUGUUGUGAAAAUAAGGUAAACUCAAUCCUGGGCAAGUAUAUCUAACUUCUUUCCCCCCACCUGAAAGAGACACCAGUGCUAAUCUCUGCAGAGUGUUCACCAAAGUGCCUAAGGUGAAGGAAUUAAUUCCUGAAUAUGUUGAGCCUUUUGCCAAAUUGUGUGAGGGUUUUUAGUUACGAAAACGCUGUCACUUAAGGAUGUUUUGCUAUGUAUCUGUCAAAAAAUGCAAGAGCAGUGAAGAAGAAUGCAGUAUUGCUUUCUUGCAGGUAUAAGAUCCUCUGCAGCCAAAAGCAGUGCCAUGAAAUACAUCUCAGACAUGGCUAGACUUUUACCAAGCAUUAGUUGCCAUUCAAAACCUGUCUUGCAUUGUUAAUAAACAAUCUGUUGAUUUAAUAUUGUAUAUAGGAUCAAAACAGCCUGUUCUGAUGUUAUUUUUACAUUUUUAAUUACAUUUUAUAAUGAUGGUGCUCAUUUUUUAAAACCCUGCUACGUGGCUUCAUUUUAAACUUCCGUUUUUUUGGAACAGAGCAGGAUGUGUUUAGGAUAUGUAUCAGCCAAUGAGGUUGUCAUCAGUUUGAAGUCUUACUGUGAUAAUAGCUAUUAAAAGUAUAUUCAGGGCAGUG